CGUUUCCUACGGGGCGCAGCAGUGGGGGAUAUUGCACAAUGGGGGAAACCCUAAUGCAGCGACGCCGCGUGAAGGAUGAAGUAUUUCGGUAUGUAAACUUCUAUCAGCAGGGAAGAAAAUGACGGUACCUGACUAAGAAGCCCCGGCUAACUACGUGCCAGCAGCCGCGGUAAUACGUAGGGGGCAAGCGUUAUCCGGAUUUACUGGGUGUAAAGGGAGCGUAGACGGUAUGGCAAGUCUGAUGUGAAAACCCGGGGCUCAACCUCGGGACUGCAUUGGAAACUGUCGGACUAGAGUGUCGGAGG
rnacentral:rRNA from 1 species